rnacentral:rRNA from 1 species
AUGCACGCGCGCUACGUUCUCUCCAUCGCCAUCACAAUGCUAUCGGACAUACGGGGACAAGUAGCCAUCAACCGUUUGAAUUUCACCAGGAGGAUAUCAGAAUACCAGCCCUUUGAUCCUGUACUUUUCAUACAUGUAUACACAUCACCAUCGAUCAAGCGUAAAAGAAAGGCCAGAUCUGUUUGCCAGAUACUAUGUAUCUCAACAUCUGGGGCGGUUGAUCAGCCUAACAAUGCCAUCUAUGACCGGCGUCAGUGGCCUGGGUGGGCAGCACCGGGAAGCAACCUCUCUGCUCAGGCUAGCAUGGGGAAGGUGUGCUGCAGCAGCGAGUCGGAGGAGGAGGCGGGCUUCAGCUUCCUGGGGCUCCUCGUCGCGGCCGUCAUCGCCUUGGUGUUCAUGCUCCUCUGUACCCCGCCGAAGCGGCGCUGCGUCACCAUCUACCCGACUCGUCGAAACUCGAGUAGGGUCUGGGUAUACCCACAGUUAGAUAAUUGUCAGUGCAUCUUAAGCCGCACCAGGAGCAGCAGGCCGGUAUUGCGUUGCGGUUCAUGGUCAUCUCUGUUUGUUUGUCUAGGCUCUUUCCCCCGGAGGAAUCUCAGACUCCAGUACGCCUCUGUAAACUCCCCAGUCGCCUCUAUACCUGCAGAAUGUCACCCCUUCUCUGAAUUUUUCUCCUUUCGUAUAGUUUUCCAGGAAUGUCUGCACUGUACAGAUUCAGGAAUCUUGCGUGCUAGUUUAACAGAGAUCCAUGAAGAUCUGCUCAGUCAUCAAGAUCUCACUGGGUGCAACGAUCUCUUCAUGAACACCCAUUUCACACUUCAGUUCUAUCCUCUGAAUUCCUGCACUGAAACUCCUUGCUGA